rnacentral:rRNA from 1 species
GAUGAACGCUGGCGGCGUGCCUAAUACAUGCAAGUCGAACGCUGAAGCUUGGUGCUUGCACCGAGCGGAUGAGUUGCGAACGGGUGAGUAACGCGUAGGUAACCUGCCUGGUAGCGGGGGAUAACUAUUGGAAACGAUAGCUAAUACCGCAUAACAGUAGAUAUUGCAUGAUAUCUGCUUGAAAGGUGCAAAUGCAUCACUACCAGAUGGACCUGCGUUGUAUUAGCUAGUUGGUGAGGUAACGGCUCACCAAGGCGACGAUACAUAGCCGACCUGAGAGGGUGAUCGGCCACACUGGGACUGAGACACGGCCCAGACUCCUACGGGAGGCAGCAGGAGGGAAUCUUCGGCAAUGGGGGGAACCCUGACCGAGCAACGCCGCGUGAGUGAAGAAGGUUUUCGGAUCGUAAAGCUCUGUUGUAAGAGAAGAACGAGUGUGAGAGUGGAAAGUUCACACUGUGACGGUAUCUUACCAGAAAGAGACGGCUAACUACGUG